AAGCCUGACGCACAGGUUAGUACCGACCGCGCCGGGCGGCUGGCGCGCUCCGGCCACGCCGGGCAGGCUGCCGAGCAGGCGCGCGCCGUGGCGGAGAUACUGCAGGGAGAGGAGAAGCCUGACGCACAGUUAAGCAGUUCCCUGGCAACGCUACUGGCCUUGCUUCGCGACGCUGGCGUCCAGCUGGCAGAUUUGCCAGACCACCUCCCGCGCGCCGACACGCCCGACGACUUGCCAGAAGACGACAUGACAGCUGACGAGGUUUAAUCGUAGCAAACUUCGUUAGAUAACAUUGAUUACUGCCGCACAAAACCAAACGACCCAAAAAGAACUAGACGCUGAAUUAAUAAUACUACCCCCUCUGAUCCUUGGCUACGAAGAUUUAGCCGACAGCGACCGCGACAGCAAUGACGCCAACAACGAUACUGUUGAUGCAGCACCUUCCAACGAAACUAUCAAUAGCAGAAUUAAAGGUCUACGUGAACUUACCCAGAACAUCGGGGGUAACUUUGCGUUGCCAAACGUCUUGGCUGCGAGAAUGUCACAGAUGGAUGACACUAAUAAAUUGGUUAUGGCGAAUAACUUGGCGCAACUUUUACAGCUUAGUAUGUUAGGUGCGACGCCUUCGAUGGACGCCACAAAGAGAAGGCAAAAUGUUGAUGUUGAAACCAGUCCAGUGGGAGGGGGUCAGCCUGACUGGAAUUUGAGCUAGAAAGUUUUGUGUAUAGUAAUUUUGUUGAUUAGUGGGUAGGUUGGACUCUGACCACACUAUAUUACAUCUUAGCAAAAACUGCUGCUACUUUGUACAGAUCUGCUCCCAUACUUGACAUGAAAACUUAGCGUGGUCCAACUCCAGCAUGCCCUUCUCGCCAAUGUUUCUUUUUAAAAUAUGUUCAAGGACCAAAUAGAAAAACGUUUUGUCUAUGGUAUGGUUUCGCAAGAUGUCUCUCUUUUUAAGUCAUAUGUAUUUUUCAUAUUGUAUGUAUUGUAUGUAUUACUUGUAUAUAACGGGUGUUUGCUGUAAGACGAGCGAAUCAUUAAACCAUAUAUUGUAAUCCUCAAACGAUAUAACUGUUGAACCCGUUCGUUGUUGGAAGGCUGGCAACGCACUUACAACCCCUCUGGUGUUGCAGGUGUCCAUGGGCGGCGGUAAUCGCUUACCAUCAGGUGAUCCGUCUGCUCGUUUGCCUCCUCUACCAUAAAAAAAAAACGACUUUUAAAAAUUUCGAAAUCUAUAGAUUUUAUUUUUUUUAUACAAAUUAAAUAUUAUUUUCAAUGUACGCUGACAUCAGUGUGUUUGACGUUGCUUGUCACGCUUUAAACAAAAUACAAUUUGCAAUACAUUGCGCCUUAGAAUAAACUUUACAGUACAUAUGAUGCUACUUUAUAGCACUAGUGCGAAAAUUAGCAUAUUACGUGACUGUGUCGAACAUUUAAAGGACCAUAUGUACUGUAAAACGUUGUACGAUACAUGUGCGAAUAGGCAAUUCGCAACUCGUGUCGAUUUAAAACACUCCCUUCGGUCGUGUUUUAAUUUAUCGCCACUCGUUUCGAAUUUCCUAUUUUUCGCACUUGUAUCGUAAUGUACUAUUAAAGUGUAAUUAAAAUCUACACAAGUUAUUUUUAAAAGUCGCUUAACAAAUGUUGGUCAGUUGGAGUAGUACAGCCUACAGAUUAAUUUAUUGCUCCUGUAACAGGACACACCAUGUAUGUAAUUUGUUGCUUAUGUAUGUUAAAUCUUAGAUAAGAUUUUGUUAUUUUUGUUAAUAGUGCCUAGUAGCUACUUCUAGGUAACUAUUAACAAGUAGACAGUAGCACCGCCCACAAUCUCUCUUCUUUGCCUUAAGGUUGACUGGUAGAGAAUGCCUUUUGGCAUUAAUUCCGCCUUUUGUACAAUACGUUUUCUUUUGUGAAAUAAAAUUUUAAUAAAUAAUUACUUUAACCCACAAAGAAGCUGGGGCUGAAUUUAAUUUAUUUUUGAAAGAGAUAUAUACUAAAACGGACGUGAAACUUAAUAAAAGAAACAUUUUGCGAGUUAGUUAUUAAGUGUACUAAUUACUCGUAGUUAUCUUACUUAUAGUGUUAAAUAAAACAAUACACAAAA